rnacentral:rRNA from 1 species
UUGAACGCUGGCGGCGUGCUUAACACAUGCAAGUCGUGCGAGAAGGUCCUCGGGACUGAGUAGAGCGGCGCACGGGUGAGUAACGCGUGGGUGACCUACCCAGGAGACCGGGAUAACAGUGGGAAACUGCUGCUAAGUACCGGGUACGCUUCAUAUUUCACGUAUGGGGGAAAGGCGGCCUCUGCUUGCAAGCUGCCACUCUUGGAUGGGCCCGCGUCUCAUUAGCUUGUUGGUAGGGUAACGGCCUACCAAGGCGACGAUGAGUAGCUGGUCUGAGAGGAUGAUCAGCCACACUGGGACUGGAACACGGCCCAGACUCCUACGGGAGGCAGCAGUGGGGAAUAUUGCGCAAUGGGCGAAAGCCUGACGCAGCGACGCCGCGUGAAGGGGAAGAAGGCCUUCGGGUCGUAAACCUCUGUCAGGAGGGAAGAAACCAUGGGAGUCGAAUAGGCUCUCGUGCUGACGGUACCUCCGGAGGAAGCACCGGCUAACUCCGUGCCAGCAGCAGC